AAGGAAUACCUGAUGUUUCUUAAGCUAAGUGCCAUACAAUUAAGUUAAUUUUUUCCUUUCUCUUUCUUCUACCUGUGAGAAUGUAUUUCUGUUCUGAAAGCAAUCUGUUUGACUUUAUGAAUUGACUGGGCAGCUGUGAGUUCACAGUUUUGGGGUCCUUCUCAUGAGAUAGAAGAAAUUCGGAUUGUUAGGACAAAAGGUUAAAACAUUUGGCUUAUUCCCCAGAGGCAAAAAUACAAUGUGUUCAUCUUUAAUGUUGGGUUUUCAGAGCAUUAACAGUUAAACCUUCCCCUUGAAGGUCUGAUCAUUGUCUCAGUUCUGUGUUUCUCAUGAUAUUUUCUCAUCUUGCUUUGAUUCCUGAAUAUUUUCGUUCCCUUCUGUGAUCCUCCUGGGCUUUCUCUAUUCUCGAUUCGACUCUCUAAUGUAUUAAGUUACCAAAGGGUUUUCAUUUGACAUCUCUACUGUGUUACUUUGAUUCAAUAACAGAAGCUUUUAUUUAAACUUGAUCCAGUUGUGUUUUGAUUCUUGAAUAGUAUUAUUUGAAAUUAUCUUUAUUGCCUUUUGGUAUUAGUUUAGUUUAACUUAUUUUUCGUUUGACACACGGCUCCUCUGGUGGAAAUAAUCCUGCUGGUGUCUGCUUAUUUCGCUGUGAGGUUGCCUUUGAUCUUUGCGUUUGUCUUCACUUUGCCUGCACCGGGGCUCUGCCUCCUGGUAUUGCUUUGUAUUCCUUUGGUUUCCCUUAACUUGUGUUUUUUUUUUGUUGUUGUUG
rnacentral:lncRNA from 1 species